UUUAAAUUGAUUUUGAAUAUAUUAAAAAAUCAUUCAACAAAUAUAAACGCAGUCACCCCUGAAGUCAUUAUAUAUUAGAAAGCUAUCUAUAUACUAUAUUUUGUUAAGAAUAUUUUUGGUAUGAAGAAAAGUCAAACUUUUCUUCUUACCAAAUCUGAAAAAAGUUGUGGAGGAAGACAACAAUCUACAAAUGGAAAUAUUCACAAAUCUAGAGAAAAGAGAGCACCAUGGUGGUUUCUUCAUCACUUUAUUUUACCAUUUCGUUAGUCUUAUAAUUUGUAAUAUC
rnacentral:lncRNA from 1 species